rnacentral:rRNA from 1 species
AGAAUCAAACGCUGGCGGCGUGCCUAACACAUGCAAGUCGAACGAGAAAGUGGAGCAAUCCAUUAGUAAAGUGGCGCACGGGUGAGUAACACGUGACUAACCUACCCUUGAGUGGGGGAUAACCUAGGGAAACCUGGGCUAAUACCGCAUAAUACCUACGGGUCAAAGGAGCAAUUCGCUUUAGGAGGGGGUCGCGGCCGAUUAGUUAGUUGGCGGGGUAAUGGCCCACCAAGACGAUGAUCGGUAUCC